AUCUCAUAUUCCAAAUCCAAUGUUGCAGAGGUGAUGAGAGAGUAGAGUGCAUUUUCAGUCACUAAUGAAUCAAUAUUAAUGGUGCAAUAUUUUGAAUGAGAUAGGGCAAUAACUGUUACUGUACAUUGCUACUCUCCUGACUUUGAAAAGAUCUUUCAUUUGUCUUCAAACUCAAAUACAUUAUUUAUUAGGCAUGAUUUUGGUUCUGACACUGGCAAUGGUGACGAUUGGAACAUGACUAGAAACUAAACAGGCAAAGAGACUAGAUGGCAAGCAUGGAUCACCAGCUCAGGCCUCUAAGCAUUUGUGUUGGAGGUGCUCUAGUCUCGGAAGAAAAUGACCACAGAUCCACACACACAGGAGGGAGACAGGGGACAGGAGGAAUAACAGACUUACACAGCCUGGACACCACUCAUUUGGAGCAGAACCACACAGGCAGUUUUCACUGAAGACCCCAUGAGACCAGCAGGAUGGUGUGUACUGUUUUGUUUAGAACAAGCAAGACUCAAGAUACAUGUUCAAAACUCAAGCAAGACUCUGGUGAGACAGCUGAAAACAAAGCAAUUAUUUGCCCUGUAAUCAAUUCCUGAUGACAGAGCUACUGUUUGGGAGAUGAAAUUUGAAUAAAUUCAUCUUCGGCAUUUGAAA